GCUGAACGCUGGCGGCGUGCCUAAUACAUGCACGUCGAGCGAACAGACGAGGAGCUUGCUCUUCUGACGUUAGCGGCGGACGGGUUAGUAACACGUGGUUAACCUACCUUUAAGACUGGGAUAACUUCGGGAAACCGGAGCUAAUACCGGAUAAUAUAUUGAACCGCAUGGUUCAAUAGUGAAAGACGGGUUUGCUGUCACGUAUAGAUGGAUCCGCGCCGCAUUAGCUAGUUGGUCAGGUAACGGCUUACCAAGGCAACGAUGCGUAGCCGACCUGAGAGGGUGAUCGGCCACACGGGAACUGAGACACGGUCCAGACUCCUACGGGAGGCAGCAGUCGGGAAUCUUCCGCAAUGGGCGAAAGCUUGACGGAGCAACGCCGCGUGAGUGAUGAAGGUCUUCGGAUAGUAAAGCUCUGUUAUUAGGGAAGAACAAAUGUGUAAGUAACUAUGCACGUCUUGACGGUACCCAAUCAGAGAGCCACGGCUAACUACGUG
rnacentral:rRNA from 1 species